rnacentral:rRNA from 1 species
GACGAACGCUGGCGGCGUGCUUAACACAUGCAGGUCGAACGGAAAGGCCCUGCUUUUGUGGGGUGCUCGAGUGGCGAACGGGUGAGUAACACGUGAGUAACCUGCCCUUGACUUUGGGAUAACUUCAGGAAACUGGGGCUAAUACCGGAUAGGAGCUCCUGCUUCAUGGUGGGGGUUGGAAAGUUUCGGCGGUUGGGGAUGGACUCGCGGCUUAUCAGCUUGUUGGUGGGGUAGUGGCUUACCAAGGCUUUGACGGGUAGCCGGCCUGAGAGGGUGACCGGCCACAUUGGGACUGAGAUACGGCCCAGACUCCUACGGGAGGCAGCAGUGGGGAAUAUUGCACAAUGGGCGGAAGCCUGAUGCAGCAACGCCGCGUGCGGGAUGACGGCCUUCGGGUUGUAAACCGCUUUCGCCUGUGACGAAGCGUGAGUGACGGUAAUGGGUAAAGAAGCACCGGCUAACUACGUG